rnacentral:rRNA from 1 species
UACGUAGGGUGCGAGCGUUGUCCGGAAUUACUGGGCGUAAAGAGCUUGUAGGUGGUUUGUCGCGUUGUUCGUGAAAUCUCACGGCUCAACUGUGAGCGUGCGGGCGAUACGGGCAGACUAGAGUACUGCAGGGGAGACUGGAAUUCCUGGUGUAGCGGUGGAAUGCGCAGAUAUCAGGAGGAACACCGGUGGCGAAGGCGGGUCUCUGGGCAGUAACUGACGCUGAGAAGCGAAAGCGUGGGGAGCAAACAGG